UUACUGGGCGUAAAGCGCACGCAGGCGGUCAAUUAAGUCAGAUGUGAAAGCCCCGAGCUUAACUUGGGAAUUGCAUCUGAAACUGGUUGGCUAGAGUCUUGUAGAGGGGGGUAGAAUUCCAUGUGUAGCGGUGAAAUGCGUAGAGAUGUGGAGGAAUACCGGUGGCGAAGGCGGCCCCCUGGACAAAGACUGACGCUCAGGUGCGAAAGCGUGGGGAGCAAACAGGAUUAGAUACCCUGGUAGUCCACGCUGUAAACGAUGUCGAUUUAGAGGUUGUGGUCUUGAACCGUGGCUUCUGGAGCUAACGCGUUAAAUCGACCGCCUGGGGAGUACGGCCGCAAGGUUAAAACUCAAAUGAAUUGACGGGGGCCCGCACAAGCGGUGGAGCAUGUGGUUUAAUUCGAUGCAACGCGAAGAACCUUACCUACUCUUGACAUCCAGCGAAUCCUUUAGAGAUAGAGGAGUGCCUUCGGGAACGCUGAGACAGGUGCUGCAUGGCUGUCGUCAGCUCGUGUUGUGAAAUGUUGGGUUAAGUCCCGCAACGAGCGCAACCCUUAUCCUUUGUUGCCAGCACGU
rnacentral:rRNA from 1 species